rnacentral:rRNA from 1 species
AUUGAACGCUGGCGGCAGGCCUAACACAUGCAAGUCGAACGAGUGGCGGACGGGUGAGUAAUGUCUGGGAAACUGCCCGAUGGAGGGGGAUAACUACUGGAAACGGUAGCUACUACCGCAUACCAUCGGAUGUGCCCAGAUGGGAUUAGCUAGUAGGUGGGGUAACGGCUCACCUAGGCGACGAUCCCUAGCUGGUCUGAGAGGAUGACAGGCCACACGGGAACUGAGACAAGGUCCAGACUCCUACGGGAGGCAGCAGGGGGGAAUAUUGCAAAAGGGGCGAAAGCCUGAGGGAGCCAGGCCGCGUGGAUGAAGAAGGCUUUCGGGUUGUAAAGUACUUUCAGCGAGGAGGCGGUACUCGCAGAAGAAGCAACGGCUAACUACGUGCCAGCAGCCGCGGUAAUUC